ACGGAAGGCAGCAGUGGGGAAUAUUGGACAAUGGGCGAAAGCCUGAUCCAGCGACGCCGCGUGAGUGAAGAAGUAUUUCGGUAUGUAAAGCUCUAUCAGCAGGGAAGAUAAUGACGGUACCUGAAUAAGAAGCACCGGCUAAAUACGUGCCAGCAGCCGCGGUAAUACGUAUGGUGCAAGCGUUAUCCGGAUUUACUGGGUGUAAAGGGAGCGCAGGCGGUACGGCAAGUCUGAUGUGAAAGCCCGGGGCUCAACCCCGGUACUGCAUUGGAAACUGUCGAACUAGAGUGUCGGAGGGGUAAGCGGAAUUCCUAGUGUAGCGGUGAAAUGCGUAGAUAUUAGGAGGAACACCAGUGGCGAAGGCGGCUUACUGGACGAUAACUGACGCUGAGGCUCGAAAGCGUGGGGAGCAAACAGGAUUAGAUACCCUGGUA
rnacentral:rRNA from 1 species